UUUUUUUUUUUUUGUUGGUUUUUUUUUUUUGUUAGUUUUAAAUACUUGUUUUCUUCCCCCUACUCUGGCUAAGGCUAGCGAGGGGGUUGGAUUUCAAGAAAAGAGAAAAGGAG
rnacentral:ribozyme from 1 species